rnacentral:rRNA from 1 species
UCUCCGUUGGUGAACCAGCGGAGGGAUCAUUACCGAGUUUACAACUCCCAAACCCAAUGUGAACGUUACCAAACUGUUGCCUCGGCGGGAUCUCUGCCCCGGGUGCGUCGCAGCCCCGGACCAAGGCGCCCGCCGGAGGACCAACCAAAACUCUUUUGUAUACCCCCUCGCGGGUUUUUAUAUCUGAGCCAUCUCGGCGCCUCUCGUAGGCGUUUCGAAAAUGAAUCAAAACUUUCAACAACGGAUCUCUUGGUUCUGGCAUCGAUGAAGAACGCAGCGAAAUGCGAUAAGUAAUGUGAAUUGCAGAAUUCAGUGAAUCAUCGAAUCUUUGAACGCACAUUGCGCCCGCCAGUAUUCUGGCGGGCAUGCCUGUCCGAGCGUCAUUUCAACCCUCGAACCCCUCCGGGGGGUCGGCGUUGGGGAUCGGCCCUUUACGGGGCCGGCCCCGAAAUACAGUGGCGGUCUCGCCGCAGCCUCUCCUGCGCAGUAGUUUGCACACUCGCAUCGGGAGCGCGGCGCGUCCAUUGCCGUAAAACACCCAACUUUCUGAAAUGUUGACCUCGGAUCAGGUAGGAAUACCCGCUGAACUUAA